rnacentral:rRNA from 1 species
CCCGGGCCUUGUACACACCGCCCGUCACACCACGAGAGUUUGUAACACCCGAAGUCGGUGAGGUAACCUUUUGGAGCCAGCCGCGAAGGUGGGACAGAUGAUUGGGGUG